CGGGGUUGGAGUCUGGUGUUGGUCUUAGUUAGGACACUGUGGGGGUUGGAGUCUGCUGUCUAGCUUCGUUAGGAUACAGUUGGGGUUGAGUCUGGUGUUGGUCUUAAUUACGACACUGUGAGGUUGGAGUCUGCUGUUGGUCUUAGUUAG